rnacentral:rRNA from 1 species
CCUGGCUCAGGACGAACGCUGGCGGCGUGCUUAACACAUGCAAGUCGAACGAAGAGCGAUGGAAGCUUGCUUCUAUCAAUCUUAGUGGCGAACGGGUGAGUAACGCGUAAUCACCUCCCCCCCCCGCUGGGGACAACAGUUGGAAACGACUGCUAAUACCGCAUACGAUCUAACCUCGGCAUCGAGGAUGGAUGAAAGGUGGCCUCUACAUGUAAGCUAUCACUGAAGGAGGGGAUUGCGUCUGAUUAGCUAGUUGGAGGGGUAACGGCCCACCAAGGCGAUGAUCAGUAGCCGGUCUGAGAGGAUGAACGGCCACAUUGGGACUGAGACACGGCCCAGACUCCUACGG